UUGCAGCACUAGGAUAUUUUGGCACC
rnacentral:piRNA from 1 species